CAGUCGCCGCGGGAACACGUAGGUGGCAAGCGUUGUCCGGAAUUAUUGGGCGUAAAGGGCUCGCAGGCGGUUUCUUAAGUCUGAUGUGAAAGCCCCCGGCUCAACCGGGGAGGGUCAUUGGAAACUGGGAAACUUGAGUGCAGAAGAAGAGAGUGGAAUUCCACGUGUAGCGGUGAAAUGCGUAGAGAUGUGGAGGAACACCAGUGGCGAAGGCGACUCUCUGGUCUGUAACUGACGCUGAGGAGCGAAAGCGUGGGGAGCGAACAGGAUUAGAUACCCCUGUAGUCCCUGUCUCUUAUAC
rnacentral:rRNA from 1 species